GAAGGAAGAGGAGAAGGGAAAGAAGUAGCUGCGGCUGCGGUUGUGGCAGCUGCAGCUAUGGCAGGGAAAGAGGAAGAGAAAAAGGAAAGGAAGAAGAAGAGAAAGGGAAGGAGAGGAAGAAGAGAGGAAGAGGAGAAGGGGCUGCAGCUGCGGCGAUGGCAGCUGCAGCUGUGGCAGGGAAAGAGAAAAAGGAAAGGAAGAAGAAGAGAAAGGGAAGGAGAGGAAGAAGAGAGGAAGAGGAGAAGGGGCUGCGGCUGCGGUGAUGGCAGCUGCAGCUGUGGCUGGGAAAGAAGAGAAGGAAAGGAAGAAGAAGAGAAAGGGAAGGAGAGGAAGAAGAGAGGAAGAGGAGAAGGGGUGGCAGCUGCGGCAGUGGCAGCUGCAGUUGGAAGAGGAGGAGGAAAUAGAGCAGGGGAGGAAGAAGAGGCUGCGACGUUGAAAUCAGUUUGUUGGAAACUCUGAGUGUGGUGGCUGCGGCCGUGGCUGCGACUCCGGCUGCGGCUGCGACGUUGGCUGCGGUAGCUGCGGCAGCGGUGGUGGCUGCAGUAGCUGCAGUAGCUGCUUUUGGGAAAGAGAAAGAGUAGGAACGAUAGAAGGGAAGAAGGAAAUAGUGCAGUGGAAGGGGGCUGCGGUUGUGACCGCAGUUGCGAUUGUGGCAGCGGCAACGGCGGCGGCUGUGGCAGCUGCGUUUGGGAAAGAAAAAGAAGGAAUGAGAGUAAGAGAGAGCAGGUGAUUGUGCCUCGAUGUUCGACACGUGAUGUAGUUACGAAGAAAGGAAGAAAACGGGAGCACAAAACGAAACAGAGAGAGGACACGGAGGAAAAGUAGAAAGAUUGGACUGGCACCUUCCUUGGAUAUUCAGAUCAAAAUAUUUGAAAGGUCAGCUUGUCACUCUUCGAGAUGUUUGAUUUGGGCUGAGGCAGUGGAUAGCUAUUCAGAAUAAUGGGCAAGUCUGGUUGGUUAUUACGAUAUUGUUGUAUAAGUAUGCCUUGUAUAUAAUGAAAUGUUGUCGAUGAACCGAAAUAGAUAUACUGUGUCCAAGUGUUAGGAGAUCUCUCUUAUUUGGAAUUUCAGAAUGUUAAGUCUAAUUUAUGGUGAUAUUAACUUGUGGUGAAUAGUUGGAGUUCUGAUUGUAUAAUUUAUUUAGCUUGUGGAUUUAUAAAUGUUGUUCAUGUUUGUCAA